rnacentral:lncRNA from 1 species
AGAAUGCUGGCUGUGCGAGUCUCCCAAGGUGCGAGCUUUCUUUCUCUCUGAAUUAGGAGGUGAAACCAUUUGGAAGAGCCAUUGUAAAGGGGAGGGCUUUGGGCUGUGCAUACUCCUCAUAUCCAGGUGAACAGCAAGAAUAUUGCUUCAAGCUGAAAUGGUACACUUUGAAAAAAACCUCGUGCUUCUUUCAAGAAGAUACAAACUCUUUAGAACACAUACUUCUUGUUAUUAUUUUACUUCAAGUUCUGGGAUACAUGUGCAGAACGUGCAGAAACACUAUCAUUUAGCAGAACAGAGACCCAGAAAAGUUUAGCACUGAGAAUCUCCAUGCAACAGGUAAACAGGUCAUUUUUAAAAAAAAUCCAAGUUGUGCAUGACUACAUCUAUAUUGAAACUCCAAAAACAAUUUGAUACUUAGAAUUUACCAAGAAUUCAGCCACAGCAUUAGGAGAGGCCGUGAAACUAACCAUCUGGAAGACCAGAGACUGCUAGUGGGUCCCUACUGGUUUCUUACAUUAAUCAGAAAAGUUUCACCACAAGGUUACACUUAGGAAUCCAGAUGGCAUUCAAAUGCUCCAGGGCCCCUAUCACUAUUUUCUUUCCUCCACUACCUUCUUCUUAUCAUAAAAAUAUCCAGUUGAAAAUUCUAUGUCUCAUAGGAAGCUACUGGGAAACAAGCAACUCAUGCAUUUACGAAAUAAAAAGGGACAUUCUCAGUGACACUUUCUCAACAACAUGGCUGCAUUCUUUUUUUUUUUUUGAGAGAUGGAGUGUCGCUCUAUUGCCCAGGCUGCAGUGCAGUGGCACAAUCUUGGCUCACUGCAACCUCCGCCUCCUGGGUUCAAGCAAUUUUCUGCCUCAGCCUCCUGAGUAGCUGGGAUUACAGGUGCCUGCCACCACGCCCGGCUAAUUUUUGUGUUUUUAGUAGAGACAGGGUUUCACCAUCUUGGCCAGGCUGGUCUUGAACUCCUGACCUCGUGAUCCACCCGCCUCGGCCUCCCAAAGUGCUGUGAUUACAGGAAUGAGCCACCGUGCCUGGCCACAGUAAUGUUAUUAAAACACUGUGACUCUGUUUUCCCGUGACUUUCUGCGGUGAUCUGGGUGAGAGAGGUUUGUUGUUCAGGAGGAGAACGAAGAAGGUGUGAAGACCAGCCUCUGUGGAUACUCAUCUUCAUGGCAACUUCACUGCCCCCAAUACAGAAUUAUUUGCUUUUUAUAACACCUCAGCCUCCUUUACCACAGCCACAAAAAUGUCAGACUCACAUUUCAAUCUUAGAUCACUACUUCCUGGCUUUUCGGCCCUUUCUCACUCUAUACACCACACUCCACUUACUUUUCAACUUUACCAAGACUUCUAGUGCCUGAUCCCUGCACUUCUACUCUCAGGACAUUCCUGGCGUCUUUUCCUUUCUGUGCUUAACCUAGAACUCUAUGGAUAAUAUCCCAAAUAUCAUCAAACCGGCAUUAUCCAUGGCCUCAUGCUCUCUACCUUCUACUUCUGCUGGGGCCAGCCUCAAGGGCAUGAGACCAUACACCCACAUAGCACCACAUCCUCAGAAGGUGGCCCUCAUCAGUGGCUUAUGAUUUUCUACUCAUAAUCUUAAAAUUUUGUAUAACUGUCUUUGCAUUUGUAUUUUGCUGGUGAAGUCCAAUGGGUCAAUGAACAUGUGUCAGGGGCUGGGACCCUCUGUUCAUGCAUGGACCUACCUGCCACCACCUGUUCACCACCUUGGGAUAAGUUUUUACCUGUCUGCUCCCUCACCUCUACUAAAAAAAUCACUGCUGCCCUUCACCUGCACUGAAUCCUGGAGAAACACACAAGAUGAUCGAGGUUGGGCACCUGCACUUCAAGUCAUGAGCUAUGGGUGUCUACACCAACCUCAAGAGUACCCUGGAGCCACAGGGAGCAUCUCAGCAAUAAAUGGCCAAUAAAAAAUACCUUCACAGGUAAAGAGAGAGAUCAUGAAAGAAAGGAAAAUACCUUUCUUCUGCCUUUUUUUUUUUUUUGAUGGGAGUCUCGCUUUGUCACCCAGGUUGAAGUGCAAUGACACAAUAUCGGCUCAUUGCAACCUCUGCCUCCCAGGUUCAAGCGGCUCUCCAGCCUCAGCCUCCCAUGUAGCUGGGAUUACAAGCACCCACCAUCAUGACUGGCUAAGUUUUGUAUUUUUGUAGAGAUGGGGUUUGGCCACGUUGGCCAGGCUGUUCUUGAACUCCUGACCUCAGGUGAUCUGUCCUCCUCAGCCUCCCAAAGUGCCAGGAUUAUAGACAUGAGCCACCGCACUCAGCCUUCACUGCUUUUUGAACAAGGGGCCCCUAUAUUCAUUUUGCACUAGGUGCCACAAAUGAGGAAGUCAUCCUUGACCUUGGCCUUCCAGCAGGGUCUGACAAAGUUGUGGGCUGGCUGUGCUUCUAAUCCCAUCUCGACAUCACCUUCCAAGCUCACUGGUUGGUUGUUGGCAGAAUUCAUCUCCUUGUGGCUGUUGACCUGAGGUCCUGUUUCUUGACCAAGGACUCUCUCAACCCCUAUAGGCAGUUCUUAAGUUCAGGUGAUAAAGAUGCUUCCAUUUUCAAAACCAGCUCUUCCAUCCCUCCUGUGGAAUUUCUCUCACUUCAAAAAGGCCCUGCCUCUUUUAAGGGCUUGGUGAUGAGGUCAGGCUCAGCAGAUAAUUUCUCUACUGAUUAACUCAAAGCCAACUGAUUAGCGACCUUAAUUAUAUUUGCUAUAUCCCCAUGUGCCAUGUAAGGUCACAUAAUCACAGUGAUGUCCCAUCUAAUUUAAAGGUUUCACUCACACUUACAAGGAGGAACUAAGACAAGGCAUGCAUAGGAGGGGAUAGGGAUCCUGGAGACUGUUUUAGAAUACUGCCUACCACACUAUCUAUUCAAGGAGAGAGGGACAUCUCUAGAUAAGGUGUCAUUUCAAAAUGGUAAGCGAUGGGAGCUGUAUGCUCCAGGUGCCAUGAGGCACAGAGGAGGAGCUCUUGACCAGAGUCGAUGAUGUAAGAAAUCCUGGCCAAUAUGAGGCCACUGGAGUCUUAAAAGAACUAGCAAGUGACACUGAGGCUCAGCUGAAGUUGGAGACUAUGAGGUAUGAUGUGUUUGCUGCAGACAUUGGCAGCUGAGGAGAGUCCAUGCAGAGUUUGUGACAUUAAACCACACUAGUCUUCUGCUGGAAGGCAGAGGCCAGGCUCACUACCUAAUUUUUGUUGUUUUAAACUGCUACAUUCUUGGUGAUUUAUUACACAGCAACAGAACAUUAAUACACAUUGGAAGUUGUUCAGUGUCAGAAACUGAAACUAUUUUUCUCCUUUUUGUUCCUCACCCACAUUCACAAGUCCCAAUUCUUAACAAGGGUUCAAUGUUACCAUGGUUGUAUGCUCUUUGGAUCUUUAAUUUAUUCAAGGGAGGCAAUAAUGAGUUAUCAUGAUUAAAUCCCAUUAUAAAUAGCAUAAUUAUUAUUAUAUUGUUUUCAUAAACUUCACCUCAAGAGGCCGAAGGGGGACCUUCCUUUCCUGUGUCUUUCCCUCACACCUCACACUCCACAACCUGCACCGACACACAGAUAAACUUUCUUUUCAACAUUCCCCUACACUUUUCAAGAUAAAGCUCAUGUUCUCUUCUCAGACACGACAAAAAAAAAAUUAGCUUCCAGAAGCUUACAUCUCAGGAAAUUGUUAUUCACAAAGUGCUUUGAAAUCUCCAGCACGAAAAAUACAAAGAAUAAAGUGUCUGCUGAUGUACACAUAUUAAAAACAUAUGCCAUAAUAUAAGCCCAAGGAUCUCAGAUCCACAAAUAAUGCAGAAGGCAGCAUUUAAUUUCCUGGUGGAGAGGCUUCCCAUUAUUUUCUUCCUCUAACUCCCCUUUCCAUCAAAGUGAAGAAUAAACACAAUUGUCCUACACAAGCAAAAUAUAGGGAGCUAAAGCCAUUAUUUGAGAACAUUUGGAAUCUAAAUGUAGAUAAACGUAUAAACUUACAGGACCUUUGCAAUCGUGAUCAACUGUGGUUAAGAAUUGGUGGUUCUGAAUGUUAGAAAAGUGCUCAGUACUGCAAAGGGCCAUGCUCACGGCAGAUCUCAACUGUAGAUCUGCUCAAUUAACUUUUUUUUAAAUUUAAGUAACAUAUAUAUAACAUAACAUUUACAUUUUAAGUGUACAAUUCAGUCAUAUUAAACAUGUUCACAUUGUAGUGCAAUCUCCAGAACAUUUUCACCUGGAAAAUUGAAAUUCUGUACUCGUUAAACAAUAACCUCCUACUUCCAUUUUCUUCCAGCCUCUGGGAUCACCCAUUCUUUUCUGUCUCUAUAAAUUUUACUACUCCAGAUACUUCACAUAAGUGGAAUCAUAUGAUAUUGGUCUUUUUGUGACUGGUAUAUUUCACUUAGCAUAAUGCCUUCAGGUUCACCCAUGUGAUAACACGCAUCAAAAGUUCCUUCAUUUUUAAGGCUGAAUAAUAUUCAGCUGUAGGUAUGUGCCACCUUUUUGUUUAUCCACUCAUUUGUCCACGGACACUUGGGUGAUUCCCACCUUUUGGCUAUUAUAAAUACUACUUCUAUGAACAUGGGUGUGCAAAUAUCGCUUUGGGACCCUGUUUUCAAUUCUUUUGGGCAUAUACCAACAAGGAGAAUUGCUGGAUUAUAUGGUAAUUCUAUUUUUAAUUAUUUGAGGAGCUGUUGAACUGCUUUCCAUAGUGACUGUACCACUAGGAAUCUGGCUAGUUUUUCAAAUGAUAAUUUCCCAUUCUUUCAUUAUUAAAAUAAUAUUUUUACGUAUCAUUUAUAGAGACUAAUUGUUUUGUGAAUUAUGUACAACUGACAUUUGGUGACCCAGAUGAAACGCUAACUUUAAAACUACAGAUUAAUUUUAUGUAGUUUAUUGAAAAAAAGGAGGAGAGGGGAGGCUUACGAACAUGAUGGACAAGUUCAAAUUCUUAAAGAAUGAAGAUAUUUUAAAAUGUGUUAGAUUUUAAAUUCCUACUCUAUCAGCCAGAUCAGGCUGCCAUAACAAAUACCAGAGAAUGGGUGGAUUAAACAACAGAAAUUUAUCUUCUCACUGUUCUAGAGGCUGAAGAGUCUAAGAUUAAGGUGUUCACCUGUUCCUUUUAUGGUGAGGGCUCUCCUCCUGGCUUGCAGACAGCCAUCUUCUCACUAUGUCUUUACAUGAUGCAGAGAGAAAGAGAAAGAGAAAGAGACUCUUGUUUUCUUCUUCUAUGGCCACAAAUUCUAUAUAGAAUUAGGGGCCCAUCCUUAAGACCUCAUUUAAAUUUACUAUCUCCUGAUAGCCCUAUCUGCAAAUGCAGCCACAUUGAGGGUUAGAGAUUAAAUGUGCAAAUUUGGGGAAAUAUAAUUCAGUCCAUGGCACCCACCAACAGUACAGAAGCAUUUCAAUUUCUCCACAUCCACACCAACAAUUGUUUUAUGCUUUUUCUGGCAGUGGCCAUUCUGAUGAAUGUGAGGAAUCUGGCCAGUUUUUUUUUAAAUGAACUCAAUAAUUUCCUAUUGUUUUAUUUCAAAAUAAUAUAUAUACGUAUAUAUACAUUUAUAGACACUAAUUGUUUUGUGAAUUAUGUACAAUUGAUAUUUGGUGCCCCAGAUGAAACUCCUAACUUUAAAACUAUAGAUUAAUUUUAUGUAGUUUAUUGAAAAAAAGCUGGGGAGGGGAGGCUUAUGAACAUGAUGGGCAAUAAGUUCAAAUUCUUAAAGAAUGAAGAUGAUUUUUUAAAAUGUGUUAUACUUUUGCACUUUUUCACAUUCCUUACCAUGCUAAGACUCAUUCACUCUCAGAGCCAAGGAUCUUUGUGGUUCUCAAUGUAUUGGUGAUAAAGUAUAAGCCACAGGAGCGAUAGGUGUCAGGCCUAAUUUCAGUUAUAAUUUGCUGUAUAGACAGCAGCAAGUCAUUCAGUUUCUCCCACCCCCAAUUUCUCCAUUUGUAGUACAGGAAUACUUACUCAAUCUAUGACAUAAGAUUUGUGAAAGGAUUAACUGAGGCCAAAGAUGGCAAUAUUUCAUCCAUGCUGAUGAAACUUUAAAUAUAUUGAGGAGAUCUUUGCAGAAAGCAUGAUUAUGGUCAGGGGCUGAAGAGUAAAUCACUGUCUCUGCUUCUUUGGAUCUGACACAGAUUUUGCACAAUUACACAUUGCACAGAGUGCUGGGAGAUAGGUGUACAAAUAUGGGGAAGGGCACCAAUGGUGAUCUUGGUGCUCAUGUCAUGUAAUGGGUAUUUAGCAAUGAUCACAAACCUUAGGAAAUUAUAUAAAGUAAAAGGCAUGAUAACCCAUUUAGUAACAAUAGUUAAACAUUUGAAAUCUUCUUAUGUAGAACAAAGAAAGCGAAAUAAAUAGUCUCAAAGCUAUGGAAACUAUUUUGUUGUCUAAACUACAGCUGGAUCAACUAUCAUAUGUUUGCUUAUCAGUUUAUUUUCUUUUUCUUUUUACUAAACUGGAAAAUAUUUUAAGUCACAAUUACAGAUUAUCAGUAAUGGCAGCAACUGUUUGGUGGCAUCUGUCAGACAAUUCCGUAUAUUUGGAUCUAAUAUGUGCCCUGAAUUAUGAAGAUGUUUCUCCCAGAAGACUCCUUUUAGCACAACAUCAGAUGCCAUGUUCAAUCUCACCUGACAUUCAAAAGCUGGAAUGGGAGAUGGCUGCAUUGGAUUCUUAAUCCUCUCUUGGUUGUACUCAGCCUUGAAAAAUGUUUCUUCAUGUGUAGUACAGAAUUUAAAGUACUUUUAAUAGCCUCAAUAAUAUAUCAUCAGUUCAUUUUUGUUAAAAUGAAAAAUAUUGAGCCCCCUUAAAAAUGUUAAUGCUUUUUCUUUUCAAAAAUAAUAAUCAUUAUAUGAAUACCAUAUAAUUAGGUUCAGGUAAUUCAAAAUAAUGAGUAACUAAGAUGUAUCUUUUGAAGUCAUAAAAAGAGUCUUCUGGCUUUAUCCAUCUCAUGAAAAAAGCUUUUGUAUAUAAUUUUACAGUUAAUAAACCCAAAUGAUAAAGUUUCAUUAGCAUGGAUGAAAUAUUGUUUUCUUUGGAAAAUGAGAUUCUUGGCUUCACUAAUAAUUUCUUCCUCCAGGACACUGAAGAGGCUGGCCUCAAUAUUAUCAUAGUAACAACUUUCUAUAGAACUUCUUAAUACUGAAUGCACAUUGGGGUAAACUUGUUGGCCAACUAUUCUCUGUUGUCCUCCUACAACCUACUUUAUUCCUAUAACAAUGGUGUUUAUUGCUGCACACUUAGAGGGUGGUCUGUUGUCCCUGGUUCCAAUGUGACUUUUCUAAUCUUACUUCACCUUAUGCCCAAUGAUCAAUAAUUAAUUAAAUACUCACAUCUUCUGGAGCACAGCUUGUCAACAAUAAACACAACUUCAUCAAGCACUCUUCUUUCAUAUAUGCACUAUAUAUAACAGAGUAUUAAAAUUGAGGUUUUUGUCUCAAUUUCUCGGAGUCCCCUCUUACCCAUCCCUAAAAAUAGCAUCCAUCAAAUCCAUAUUCCCUAAAAAAAAAUUAGGCAAUCUUUGCAAAGAGUAUAUAUAAAAACUUGUUUUGCAACCUUCUCCUAUCACCUACCUCCAGACUAUAAAAUCUAAGAUAGAAAUUGGAGGAUUUCUUUGAGAAUUUUUUUAAUGCUACAGCCUGUUUUUUUCACUACUUUUCCUAAAGGGCAGAAGAAUGAAAUACUUCUCCUUAUCUUAAAUCCGUUGAGGUAGGCUUCAUAGAGAUUACUUAGAGAAUUCUAGUAUAUAAUUCUUAAAGUUUGGAAGGCUAAGGUGGCACAUAGUGGACAACAUUUAAAAACAGGAGGCUAAGUAUAUAUUAACCAAGUGGAAAAUCUAGGUAGGAAAGUCUGUCAUUACUGGCCAAAGGAGAAAGAAGGGGAACUAAAUGGCCCAUGUUAGAAGCCUGUUGCACUUACACUCAUGAAGCCACCAGAAUCAGUGAGGGUUUUCUUACAGUCUAGAUAGGGACAAGGUCAGGGAGAGGGAGCAGCCUGGAGACAUAUUAAUUUUUCCCAGAUGAACUGCCUGGAGGAAAUAUUGAACUAACAUAGGAUGAAACACAGCAUAGCUGAUAGAUACGUGAGUGACUUUUUGGAAGAAACUAAAUUGUUCCCAUCAUGAGAAGUAGACUCUAAGGUCUCGUGGGGGCUAAUGGUAGAAUCCUUACUAGGCCCCAAAGAAGGAGAAUUUAUCUACCAUUAGAGACCAAACAAAGUUAGCUCAAGAUAUCCACCAUGGCCAGAGGAAACCAAUCCAACAUGGCCAGAGGAAAGCAAAUCAUACUGACCCCAGUCAAGAGGAAAACACAGCCUUGGCUCACAAUGAUGAGGGAGGGGAAGAAAAACUCAUCAAGGGAAUAAAGAAGGUGGUGGCCACUUUUCAUGGGUUCUAUGCGAAACUAUCAAAGCUGACUCAAACCAAGGGGAGAGAAGGAGCUUACUUGAGAUGUGUUUUUGCUUAUUGACUAGGCAUUUAAUUCCUGAACAGAGAUUAUUUAAAUCUUAAAGAUUAAAGGAUGUUUUUCAAGUCUGAAAAUCAUAGGACUCAAAUUAGCUUUCAAUUCAGGGGCCAGGAAAUGGCAAGCCCCACUGUGUGAGUUUGAAAGGGUGAAGAAUAAUGGAGGGAAGGUGUGAGAGAAUAAAGUUUUUUCUUUUGGCUCCAGGUAAGUUAUGUAUACCCAUGCCAGAGCUGCAAGAACACCCUCGUCAUACAACUGCAGCUCCCACCUUACGAUCAGUGUUACCUACACAACGAUAAUAUUACUUGAUAAAAUAAUUUUAUUGGCUGGGCCCAGUGGCUCAUGCCUGUAAUUUCAGCACUUUGGGAGGCCUAGGCAGGUGGAUCACCUGAGGUCAGGAGUUCUAGACCAGCCUGACCAACAAGAUGAAACCCCGUCUCUACUAAAAAUAAAAAAAGCCAAGCAUGGUGGCGGACGCCUGUAGUCCCAGCUACUAAGGAGGCUGAGGCAGGAGAAUUGCUUGCACCCGGGAGGCAGAAGUUGCAGUGAGCCAAGAUUGUGCCAUUGCACUUCAGCCUGGGCAACAAGAGUGAAACUCCAUUAAAAAAACUAAUGAUCAAUUGAUAGUUUUGUUUUUCUUCCAAAAAUAAUAUAUAUUUUUUACAUGUGACUAAUUUCACAAGUCUCCUGUGUAACUUGUGGCUAUUCAAGGUGAAAGUUGUGCAACUUUGAAAGACCCCUCUGUAAUUCCAGUUUGUUCUUUAUUUUUACUAAAAAGCAUGACAGGUAUUUUGUGCUCAUUUUAGGGAGAAAAAAAAAACAGAACUAAAUUGGCUUAUCAUAAAGGUGAUAGAUUAUGUUUUGUAAGAACACAAAGCUCCUGUUUCUUGUUAGUCUUUGACUGAACUUGACACUAGUUAACAGUCUGGGGACCAGUGAAAGGUUAAUAUGUACUGUAAAAUUCAAUUCUCAGAUAUUCAUUGUCAUGCUUCUAAUUACACUUCUUUUUGGCCACCAGGCCAAAUUCAAUUGUAACAGUACAUGGAGGUUCACAAUAUGUAUUCACACUGGAGACGUCGGCAUUGUUUCUAUUGAUGCUAAUAUUCUAGGUUGUAAUAGUGCACUACUUUUGACAGCUCAAUGAACUAGCCAAAUAUCUAUUUUGGGCAGUUGAAGAUACAAAGCAGUAUAGUCAUUGACAUAGUUCGGAUGUUUGCCCUUGUCCAAAUCUCAUGUUGAAAUGUAAUCCCCAGUGUUGAACGUGGGGCCUGGUAAGAGGUGAUUGGAUCAUGGGGACAGAUUCCCCAUGGCUUGAUACCGUCCUCGCGAUAGUGAGUUCUUGCAAGAUUUGUUUGUUUAAGUAUAUGGCGCCCCUUUGCUCCUGCUUUUGCCAUGUGACAUUCCUGCUCUAUUCCUGCUCCUACUUGGCCUUCUGCCAUGAGUAAAAGCUCCCUGAGGCCCCCAAAGGCUUAGCAAAGCUGACGCCAUGCUUGUACAGCCUGCACAACUAUCAGCUAAUUAAGCCUCUUUUCUUUAUAAAUUAUACGGCCCCGGGUGUUUACAGCAAUGCAAGAACAACCUAAUAUAGUCAUGCUAGCAAAAAUUAAAAACUACGUAGUUAAUGAAACAUAGAAAAUAAAAUUUCUAAUGAUUUGUAAAAUGUUAGCAGGGAUGAGUUGUACCUUGGUAAAUUGAUAUAAAUAAACAUUAUCUGACUAAUUCACUCUUUGUUUGAUAAGAACUAUCUUUAAGAAACUGAUAAUAAUGAGGCAAGAAAAUUUCUAUUAAAAUAACAAUAAAGCUUACAUUUUAAACUUAAAACGUAUGUGAACUACAUUAUUUAAUUUUUUUCCUUUGAAACUUUCAAACUUGUCACAGAUCACUCCCAAGUGCUGGUACCACAGCACCAUGUCAUCCUCAUGCUCUGCAGAAUAGCAUGGCACAUCACUGGAUGUCUUCUUGUUGAUUGCCUUUUCUAAGGCAGACAUCGACCUAGGCAUUUGGAACAUAGUGAUGAAGAACACAAUCAUGGAACCUACCCUCCAAAAGCUUACACUCUAGCAAAGAAGUCAUAUAAAAAUCCAUAAUUAGGCCAGGCGCAGUGGCUCACUCCUUUAAUCCCAGCACUUUGGGAGGCAAUGAGGGCGGAUCACCUGAGGUCAGGAGUUCGAGACCAGCCUGACCAACAUGAUGAAACCCUGUCUCUACUAAAAAUACAAAAAUUAGCUGGGCAUGUUAACGCAUGCCUGUAAUCCCAGCUACUUGGGAGGCUGAGGCAGGAGAAUCACUUGAACCCGGGAGGCAGAGGUUGCAGCGAGCCAAGGUAGUGCCAUUGCACUCCAGCCUGGGCAACAGGAGCAAAACUCCAUAUCAAAAAUAAAUAAAUAUAAACAAAAUAAAAACCCAUAAUUAAAAUAGUAUCAGGAACACUUGACCUGAUAAAGAGGUGGAUCUUGUGAAGUCAUAUAACCCGAGCCCUGAGGUAUGAGUAAAGGAUAGUCACUUAAAGCAGGGUUGGCAGAAGAGCAAUUUCAUUUGCAUCCAUUGUGCUUUCUAGUUUACAGCAUGUGCAUUGUGCUUGUGCUGAGAUGUGAAGCAUUUUAUCAGCAUUAUUAAGCCUAUCAUGUGGGAGACAUGUAAAAGCACUGAAAGUAAUGGAACUACUGGUAAAAAAAUACAUACUCUUAUAACGAAAACAUCAACAAUUUUAUUUUUUUUACCAAACUUUUUAAAAUUUUGAGAUACAAAGAGCUCUCUUGCACCCUUAUUCCAGUUUCCCCCAAUGGUAACAUAUUGGAAACUAUAAUAUAAUAUUAUAACCAGGAUAAUGGCAUUGAUACAGUCAAAAUAGAGAACAUUUUCAUCAUCACAAGGGUUUAUAAUGGCACCCUUUUAUAGUCACACUUAGCUACCUUCUCUCAACCCCUUCCUUAACCCCUGAUUCCCCUUAUCUGUUCUACAUUUCUAUAAUAUUGUCAUUUCAAGGAUCUUAUGUAAAGGAAAUUAUAAACUAUGUAACUUUUUGAGAUUGAAGAUUUUUUUAAUUACUCAACACAAUUCUCUGGAGAUUCAUCCAGGUUGAGUGUGUCAAUAAUUCAUUCCUUUUCAUUGCUUAGGAAUACUUCUUUGUAUCGAUGAACCACAGUUAGCUUAACCAUUCACUCAUUGAAGAACAUUCUGGGUUAUUUUCAGUUUUGGUCUAUUAUAAAUAAAAUAGCCACAAACAUUCAUGUAUAGGUUUUUGUGUGAACAUAAGCCUUCCUGUCUCUGGUAUAAAUCCAGCACUUGUUAAUAGCACAUGUCCACAUGUUAAUAGCAUGUUUAGUUUUUUAACAAACUGCCAAACUGUUUUCCAGAAUGGCUGUAACAUCUAACAUUCUCAUUGGCAAUGUAUGAGUGAUCCAGAUUCUCUGCAGCAUUGCCAGUAUUUGCUUUUGACUCUCUAUCUAUCUAUAUAGUCAAAAUAUAUACAUAUAUUUGCUUUUGACUAUAUAUAUAUAUUUGCCUUUCACUAUUUUUUGGUUUUGCAUAUAUACAUAUACAUAAUUCAUUGUGUAUAUACAUAUAUUGUGUGUACAUAUGUAUAUUAUGUGUGUUUCUACAUAUAUAUGUACACACACAUAUGUAUACAGUUUUUAAAUUUUAGCCAUACUGUUAGGUGUGCAGUGGCUAUCUUGUGAUUUUAAUUUAUAUUCCCCCAAAGACUAAUCAAAUUGAACAUUUUUUCAUAUGUAUAUGUGCCAUCUGUAUAUUCCCUUGGGUAAAAUAUCUCUUCAUGUUUUUUCCCCCACAUUUUGUAAAUGGAUUAUCAUUAUUUACUGUUGAGUUUUGAGAGUACUUAAUAUAUUUUUAGAUACCAGUC